rnacentral:sRNA from 1 species
CCCUAGCCCAGACAGGAGCGGCAUCCUUUUGUUGUGGGGUUCACAACAAAAGAUACAGCGGAUAGCUGGAAACAGC